rnacentral:rRNA from 1 species
CCUACGGGUGGCAGCAGUGGGGAAUAUUGGGCAAUGGAGGCAACUCUGACCCAGCAACGCCGCGUGAAUGAUGAAGGUCUUCGGAUUGUAAAGUUCUUUUCUAAGGGAAGAAGAAAGUGACGGUACCUUAGGAAUAAGCCUCGGCUAACUACGUGCCAGCAGCCGCGGUAAUACGUAGGAGGCAAGCGUUAUCCGGAAUGACUGGGCGUAAAGGGUGCGUAGGUGGUUUGACAAGUUAGUAGCGCAACUCCGGAGCUCAACUUCGGAACUACUACUAAAACUGUUGGACUUGAGUGCAGGAGGGGCAAUCGGAAUUCCUAGUGUAGCGGUGGAAUGCGGAGAUAUUAGGAGGAACACCAGUGGCGAAGGCAGCCUGCCAAGCCAUGACUGACGCUGAUGCACGAAAGCGUGGGGAUCAAACAGGAUUAGAUACCCUGGUAGUC